GCUCCGGUGGCCAAGUGGUUAGAGCAUCUGCCUUGGAUGCUGGAGGUCGUGGGUUCAAACCCUGGCUAAGUCA